rnacentral:misc_RNA from 1 species
CGUGAUGAUCGGACUUGGGGGGGGGGUUCAGCCGCGCCCGUUAAACGGGACGGCCCGCCCGAGGACCCCUAAACUCUGUUUUUAGUGGAACUUCUGAGUAAAACAAACAAAUAAAUCAAAACUUUCAACAACGGAUCUCUUGGUUCUGGCAUCGAUGAAGAACGCAGCAAAAUGCGAUAAGUAAUGUGAAUUGCAGAAUUCAGUGAAUCAUCGAAUCUUUGAACGCACAUUGCGCCCGCCAGUAUUCUGGCGGGCAUGCCUGUUCGAGCGUCAUUUCAACCCUCAAGCUCAGCUUGGUGUUGGGACUCGCGGUAACCCGCGUUCCCCAAAUCGAUUGGCGGUCACGUCGAGCUUCCAUAGCGUAGUAAUCAUACACCUCGUUACUGGAAAUUCGUCGCA